rnacentral:rRNA from 2 species
UGAUUGAUGGUGCUUGCACCUGAUUGACGAUGGAUCACCAGUGAGUGGCGGACGGGUGAGUAACACGUAGGUAACCUGCCCCGGAGCGGGGGAUAACAUUUGGAAACAGAUGCUAAUACCGCAUAACAGCAAAAGCCACAUGGCUUUUGCUUGAAAGAUGGCUUUGGCUAUCACUCUGGGAUGGACCUGCGGUGCAUUAGCUAGUUGGUAAGGUAACGGCUUACCAAGGCGAUGAUGCAUAGCCGAGUUGAGAGACUGAUCGGCCACAAUGGAACUGAGACACGGUCCAUACUCCUACGGGAGGCAGCAGUAGGGAAUCUUCCACAAUGGGCGCAAGCCUGAUGGAGCAACACCGCGUGAGUGAAGAAGGGUUUCGGCUCGUAAAGCUCUGUUGUUGGAGAAGAACGUGCGUGAGAGUAACUGUUCACGCAGUGACGGUAUCCAACCAGAAAGUCACGGCUAACUACGUGCCAGCAGCCGCGGUAAUACGUAGGUGGCAAGCGUUAUCCGGAUUUAUUGGGCGUAAAGCGAGCGCAGGCGGUUGCUUAGGUCUGAUGUGAAAGCCUUCGGCUUAACCGAAGAAGUGCAUCGGAAACCGGGCGACUUGAGUGCAGAAGAGGACAGUGGAACUCCAUGUGUAGCGGUGGAAUGCGUAGAUAUAUGGAAGAACACCAGUGGCGAAGCGGCUGUCUGGUCUGCAACUGACGCUGAGCUCGAAAGCAUGGGUAGCGAACAGGAUUAGAUACCCUGGUAGUCCAUGCGUAACGAUGAGUGCUAGUGUGAGGUUCCGCCUUCAGUGCGAGCUACGCAUAAGCACUCCGCUGGGGAGUACGACCGCAAGUUGAAACUCAAAGGAAUUGACGGGGGCCCGCACAAGCGGUGGAGCAUGUGGUUUAAUUCGAAGCUACGCGAAGAACCUUACCAGGUCUUGACAUCUUGCGCUAACCUUAGAGAUAAGGCGUUCCCUUCGGGGACGCAAUGACAGGUGGUGCAUGGUCGUCGUCAGCUCGUGUCGUGAGAUGUUGGGUUAAGUCCCGCAACGAGCGCAACCCUUGUUACUAGUUGCCAGCAUUAAGUUGGGCACUCUAGUGAGACUGCCGGUGACAAACCGGAGGAAGGUGGGGACGACGUCAGAUCAUCAUGCCCCUUAUGACCUGGGCUACACACGUGCUACAAUGGACGGUACAACGAGUCGCAAGCUCGCGAGAGUAAGCUAAUCUCUUAAAGCCGUUCUCAGUUCGGACUGUAGGCUGCAACUCGCCUACACGAAGUCGGAAUCGCUAGUAAUCGCGGAUCAGCAUGCCGCGGUGAAUACGUUCCCGGGCCUUGUACACACCGCCCGUCACACCAUGGGAGUUU